GAAUAUUGAAGUAAAUUUUUACAGUUAGUUUCGACCUAAAAUUAGAGAAUAAAGCUCUCCUUAUUCA
rnacentral:tRNA from 1 species